CUCGGUGGUCAUUGCGAAGAGGUCACACCCGAUCCCAUCCCGAACUCGGUCGUUAAGCUCUUCAGCGCCGAUGGUACUGCAUGAUUUUUUGUGUGGGAGAGUAGGUCGCCGCCGGGG
rnacentral:rRNA from 1 species